GGAGAACUUGCACAAUUGGUGGCUGACUAAAUACUUUUUUUCCCCCACUGUACAUGAUGUUUUCACCUCAGUGAUAUCCAGGUCUCCUGCACCACCAUCCGCACCACCAACCUCACCCACCUCUUCAUCCACCCCAGAGUUUGUAGUGAUCAUGGUGUCUGUGUGUCUAACUGUGUUGGUGUUAACUGUCAUCCUGUUCACAGUCUACAGAUGGAAAUGUAACAAGGUGCAAGGGCUGGUCUCCUCCAGCAGACAGACCUCUAGCAGAACAAACACCCACCCAGGAAACAGUGAGGAGGGGAACCAGGACUAUGAGAAUGACCCUGCUACAGACACCAUGGUUCAUAUCAAAA